rnacentral:rRNA from 1 species
GCUCACUGGUCGAGUCGGCCUGCGCGGAAGAUGUAACGGGGCUAAACCAUGCACCGAAGCUGCGGCAGCGACACUAUGUGUUGUUGGGUAGGGGAGCGUUCUGUAAGCCGUUGAAGGUGUGCUGUGAGGCAUGCUGGAGGUAUCAGAAGUGCGAAUGCUGACAUAAGUAACGAUAAUGCGGGUGAAAAACCCGCACGCCGGAAGACCAAGGGUUCCUGUCCAACGUUAAUCGGGGCAGGGUGAGUCGACCCCUAAGGCGAGGCCGAAAGGCGUAGUCGAUGGGAAACAGGUUAAUAUUCCUGUACUUGGUGUUACUGCGAAGGGGGGACGGAGAAGGCUAUGUUAGCCGGGCGACGGUUGUCCCGGUUUAAGCAUGUAGGCGGAGAUUCCAGGUAAAUCCGGAGUCUUGCUAACGCUGAGGUGUGAUGACGAGGCACUACGGUGCUUAAGUAACAAAUGCCCUGCUUCCAGGAAAAGCCUCUAAGCAUCAGGUAACACGAAAUCGUACCCCAAACCGACACAGGUGGUCAGGUAGAGAAUACCAAGGCGCUUGAGAGAACUCGGGU